UCUCCUGAACCUCUCCUUUCUCUGUUGACCCGGUGGCAUCUCCUCCUUUCUCUCAUUCUCUCAGAUCCAGAUUGGCUGCUCAUCGAGGCGGAGGGCUUCAGUCGGCGGCGAUCCCUGCCACCGCGGCCUCCUCAUCCCCAACAGCGGCGGCACCUCCUUCGUCCCCUCAAGCAUCCACGACUGCUACUCCCCGACCGGCAACCGCGACGCUCCUGGUGGCCGCACGGCACGGCUAGGCCCACUCGGGGAAGGCUACGGCGGCACGAUGCACCAUCAGCACGUUUGCUGGGGCCCUUCCGUUCCAACGAUGGCGGCGCCCUUCGUGUACGGACACGCCGCGUGCAGGGCAAUGCUGUCCACGCCGGAUUGCAUGGCCUGCCUCCGCUCCAUCGUGAGCCAUAUGGACGCGGCGCCAGGGCCGUGCUUCUUGACUGCAGCUUGCGCUAUGAGCAAUCCAGAGCCAUGGCCGCCGGUGCCUCCAUUGACCACCUGCUUCCUCCUCAUGCAAGUAUGGAUUGAAUAGGCAACAUGUGGGAUCAGGGCAGCAUUAGGAGGCGACCUGUGAUUUCCUCCGCCUCCCUUCCAAAUCCGGUGUUGAAUCGAGAAGCAGAUCUGAUGCUAACUCAUUUAUUCCACCAUGCUUUUCAUGCAGUGAUUUCGUCCGUUGUGCUUUCUAUAUGCAGGCAACCAGUGAUUUUAUGCAAUUCAUUUUCAUGCAUUUUUGAAUUUUGGAUACAUUUCUAGCUGAUACUUGGUAUACACUGUUGGUAUAUAUUUCUAUACAUUAUUGACACAUAAUUUGAUACAUUGUUGGAGCAGUUUCUAUGCGGUUUUUAUGUGGUAACAAAUUUAAUCUUUAUUCAUUGAACUACUAGUUUCUAUACAUUAUCGGUGCCAAAAAUAUUUCUGCGCAACUUGACUACUAAUUCUAUGAAUCUGAUCGCCCAUUGCAUGCUAUUUUUUAAAUUUUGGAGAAAAUGAGAUCAUCUGCAUCUUUUACGUGUGUGAUCUCCAUGUUCUAUGUAUAUAUUGUUCCCAUGUUAAUUAUACACCCCUAAUGAUAUUUUUGGUUUAGAUGCACUGUUAGAAUAAUUAUCUGCGCACAAUUCUUUUUAUGCUUAGUUGUAUGGGUUUUAUCUGAUUUUUUGGUUGCAGCCUUGGAUGAUUAUUCUAACAGUGCAAUCCUGCUUACUUGCAUGAAAUGAAAAGCUAUAAACGCAAAACCAUUCUGGUGGCAAGUCCACUGCCUGAUGCAGUCCACGGCCGCGGUGCUAGUAUGAAGCAGCAGUGGCGGGUGGUGGCGUGUAGUUCACGGCGGCGGCGCUAGUGCGAAUCAGUGGUGGUGGUCAGUUCGAUGGAAGAUAGCAAAGGAGCAGCACGACGCGGCUAAGGAUUUUUGCAUUUUGUUGUUGAAUUUAGUGUUCUUAUGUUUGUGUGCAUAAGUUUCUAUACACACAAUGGAGCACUUCUAUGCAUUUUUGUAUUCUUAAUGCUUGUGAGCAUAAGUUUCUAUACAUUGUUGGAGCAGGUCUAUGUUGUUUUUAUGCGACAAUAAAUUCACUUUUUAUUCAUCAAAUUACUAAAUUCUAUGUAA